CUUAAUUCAUACAAUAAAAUAUUUAAUUACUAAUACUUAAUAAUACUUCUUAAUAUUUUAAUACCAAUUAAUUAAUCACUACUAAACCAUUAAUACUACUUAAUACCAUUUGAAUUUGAAUAAUAAGAAAACUUUCCAGACCUGGAUGAGAAUGAGCAAACCUUUAUUGGUGCUGAUCAGCCACUGCUUCCAUUGAGCUUCUAUACAGAAUUACAGAAUUGCCCAUGGCCCCCCUGCCUCAUUUCCCCGAAAAACAAGUCUGCCCUUUUACCGAAAAUUAAGUCUGGCCUGUUGUUGUUCCUGCCGAACUUCUGCAUUAUUAUUAAGAAUAUGCUGCGUUGACAAAACUAUUGUCAAGGCUGUGCCCCCAAGAACAUCUUGUCCUACUCCCUGUCACGUAUCACCCAUAUCACCCAGACAAAACGCACGUCUUGAGGACCAAUCUCACCAAUCUCCCCAAUCAAUCAUCAAUUCUCCUGCUGCAAUGGAUUCUCAGAGUCAGCAAGUUCGUCCUGCUGGCCGACCUAUUUGGCCUUCUCGACAUUAUAUGAGACCUUAUAUGAUGCCUUAUGCAAGACCUGUGCCCACCCAACUACUGGCCUACGUCUCCUGUGCCUGGGCCUAGCUCUGCCUAUUGAGAUUUAUAACUUCAAUAAACCAACUACACCCCCUUA